rnacentral:miRNA from 1 species
UGCUGUCGGUGGGUUUGUUCU